rnacentral:rRNA from 1 species
AGAGAAGUUACAAAGGGCGAACGGAGGAUGCCUUGGCUUCUGGCGGCGACGAAGGACGCGGUAAGCUGCGAAAAUGUGCGGGGAUCUGCAAACAGGACUUGAUCCGCACGUAUCCGAAUGGGACAACCUGGCAGGUUGAAGACCUGUCACUCGAAAGAGAGCCAACGCGGAGAACUGAAACAUCUAAGUAUCCGCAGGAAAAGAAAGAAAAAUCGAUUUCCAGAGUAGUGGCGAGCGAAAUGGAAAGAGCCUAAACCGAUAUUGUUGCGGCAAUAUCGGGGUUGUAGGACCUCGACAUACGAGACAUGAGGAAGUGGAAUUGGCUGGAAAGUCAUGACAUAGAGGGUGAUAUUCCCGUACACGUACAAUCAUGUAGAGUUAGAGGACUCCUGAGUAGGGCGGGACACGAGGAAUCCUGUCUGAAUCUACGGGGACCAUCCCGUAAGGCUAAAUACGACCAGAAGACCGAUAGUGAACCAGUACUGUGAAGGAAAGGUGAAAAGCACCGUGAACAACGGGGUGAAAUAGAACCUGAAACCGUUCGCUUACAAGCGGUCGGAGUCCCGUAAGGGAUGACGGCGUGCCUUUUGCAUAAUGAGCCUACGAGUUACUUCUCACCGGCAAGGUUAAGCACUUCAGGUGCGGAGCCGAAGCGAAAGCGAGUCUGAAUAGGGCGCUAAGUCGGUGGGAGUAGACGCGAAACCUUGUGAUCUACCCUUGACCAGGUUGAAGGAACCGUAACAGGUUCUGGAGGACCGAACCAGUUUCCGUUGAAAAGGAUUUGGAUGAGUUGAGGGUAGGGGUGAAAGGCUAAUCAAACUGGGAGAUAGCUCGUACUCCCCGAAAUGUCUUUUGGGACAGCCUCGAUUUAGCUUGCAUGAGGUAGAGCUACUGAUAGGAUGCGAGGGCUUCACCGCCUAUCAAAUCCUGACAAACUCCGAAUGCGUGCAAGUGAUGAUCGGGAGUGAGUCGCCGGGUGCUAAUGUCCGGUGGCGAGAGGGAAAGAGCCCAGACCAACAGCUAAGGCCCCCAAUGGUAUGCUAAGUUGAUAGAACGAUGUUCGGUUGCUUAGACAGCUAGGAUGUUAGCUUGGAAGCAGCUAUUCAUUUAAAGAGUGCGUAACAGCUCACUAGUCGAGCGACUGAGCGUGGAUAAUAAACGGGCAUCAAGCAUACAGCCGAAGCUAUGGACUCUGAAUAGAGUGGUAGGGGAGCAUUCCAGCCGGCGCUGAAGAUCAACUGUGAGGUUGGUUGGAGCGACUGGAAAAGAAAAUGUAGGCAUAAGUAACGAUAAUGCGGGCGAGAAACCCGCACACCGAAAACCCAAGGUUUCCUGAACAACGUUAAUCGGAUCAGGGUAAGUCGGGGCCUAAGGGUAAUCCGAGAGGAGUACUCGAUGGACAAACGGUUAAUAUUCCGUUACCUGUAUAUCAUAGUUAGGAGAGACGGAGAAGUGACACGCACGCGAGCUGACGGAAUAGCUCGUUAAAGGACGUAGGUAUAGGAUCUUGUUAAGAGCUGGUCCUGCUGAUGUCUGACAGUACAGCAAGCCUUCGGGUGCGCUGACAGUUGCGGUAAACAGACUCCCAAGAAAAUCUUCGAAGCGUUAAUGGUAUAUCAGCCCGUACCGUAAACCGACACAGGUGGGUGAGGAGAGAAUCCUCAGGUGCUCGAGUGAAUCAUGGCUAAGGAAUUCGGCAAGUUAACCCCGUAACUUCGGGAUAAGGGGACCCUGCAUAGCAGGGCGCAGAGAAAUGGCCCAGGCGACUGUUUAACAAAAACACAUGGCUUUGCAAAAUCGUAAGAUGAAGAA